GAUAAUAAUUUAAUUAUAGAAGCUUACAUUCUCUUAAUAUUUGUUGUGCAGCUAGGAUUGCAUUUUUCUAUUUUAUUUUCUCUGUAGAAUCUCUCCAAGAAGUAGGGAAAAUCAUCCAAGUCCAGAAGAGCUAGAAGAAAAAGAUGAAGAUAUUCAAGCUGUAAGAGUGAAAAGGCAUUCACUACUCCAAACUUGGAUGAGAAACCAGUCCUAAUGGCAAGCUGUUUACACAAGGAAUAUAAAGAGAAAAAGAAAAGUUGCUUUACAACAAGAAAGAAGAAAAUAGCCAUUAGGAAUGUUUCCUUCUGUGUUAACAAAGGUGAAGUUUUGGGAUUGCUGGGACACGAUGGAGGUGGCAAAAGUACUUCUAUUUAAAUGAUAACUGGGGACACAGAGGCCACUGCAGGAGUGGUAUGUGGCAUGUAAAGGAACAAGUGUAUUGCCAGGGGAAAUUUCAUUUUAAGUAUCAAUGGCAUCCUUAUAUUAUUCCUUUGUGAAUUCCAUGAUUUUGUAAAAAAUGA